UACGUAGGGCGCAAGCGUUGUCCGGAAUUAUUGGGCGUAAAGAGCUCGUAGGCGGUUUGUCGCGUCUGCUGUGAAAACUCGAGGCUCAACCUCGGGCUUGCAGUGGGUACGGGCAGACUAGAGUGCGGUAGGGGUGACUGGAAUUCCUGGUGUAGCGGUGGAAUGCGCAGAUAUCAGGAGGAACACCGAUGGCGAAGGCAGGUCACUGGGCCGCAACUGACGCUGGAGGAGCGGAAAAGCAUGGGGAGCGAACAGG
rnacentral:rRNA from 1 species